rnacentral:sRNA from 1 species
GCUGGGUGCAGUGGCGCACACCUGUAAUCCCAGUGACUAGGGAGGCUGAGACAGGAGGAUUGAGAGUUCAGAACCAGCCUCAGCAAAAGCAAGGCUCUAAGCAACUCAACGAGACCCUGUCUCUA